AUGCUUGUCCACCAAAGCAUUGAGGAAGAUGUGUUUGAGCCACUGGUGUUGCGUGUUGCUGAAAUUAGACGCCGCUUCUUUGGGAUAGUGAGCUCAUCUGAAAAUGACGGAAGGGGUCCUACAAUGCAUGAACUUCCAGAAAAGAUCAGAUGGGAAGUGCAACAUCUUGAAGAAUUGUUUGAGGGGAUCAAGGAAGACAAGGAGGGGGUCUAUGAGAGCAUUACGUAUGUUAGCAUGGCAGUCUCUAAGUGGCAAAGAAGAUUGGGGAUAGUAUACCGGAAUGCAUCUGGAGCUCCUGCACCUUUUGAGGGAAUGAAAUGGGCAGUGGAGCAUCAUGAGGGGUGGGUUGAGGAUGGUACCACAUCAGAAGCCAAUACUGAGAAACUGUCUUUUGAUGAACAUGAGUUUUUUGAAUCACUUCGAUACCUUAAGACUGCAGAAGGUGGUUCAGAAGCUCGUUUCCUGGAUGGUAUCAAGACUGGAAUGCAGUGUAUCAACGAUGUUCUUGCCACCGUACAAUCAAGAACGGAAGCAGCCAAUGGGAGCUUGCGUAUUGUAGACCAUGUCUUCUCCCCAGUACUGAAACUUAUAAAAACCAUUGAUCAUCUAGUAUCAGUAGCUACUGAGGGCGGAGACAAAUCUCAGAACUAUAAGUUCCUUGCCAAGAUUGAUGGUCAAGUAGACUGCUUGCAGGAUGCACUACAUGUGAUUGAUAUAAAUAAGAGAGAAGUUGAGGAAAGCUUUAGAACAAUGGAAGGUCUCAUCUUGCCACUAUUGUCACGCCUUAACGCCAGUUGCAAUGUUCAAUUGGAACCUCUGAGCUUCCAAGAUGAGAUCGAAAAAGGCAUUAAGCACUUGGUAGAUGUACUUGGCAUGGUUGAGAAAAAGAAGCAGGAUGGAAAUGCAAACUUCAGCAUUGUUAAUGCGGCCUUCUCGCCGUUAUUGACAUGUUUGAACACCAUCAGGCACCUCUCAUUAGAAGCCUUAGCCCAUGAAGAUAAAUCAGGUGCUUUUAUUCUCUUGGGCAAUAUCAGCGAUGAGUUGUCACAGCUCAAAGAUGUACUCCAGAAGGUCCAGGAGAAAGAGAAAGGGAUAUACAGUAAUUUUGAUGCCAUUGAGCAACAUAUUGAUGAACUUUUUGAGGGGCCUAUGAUAGAUGCCGAAGGCUCCUUAAAACUUCAGCAGAUGGGUGGCCUGCGAGAAAAGUUCCGUGUGAUUCAUAAAGAGAUAACAAAUAUAUGGGGUAAGGUGAAUGACUCUUUCAAGGUUCAGGAUGUCUCCAUCAGAUUGAUGGCUGCAAGACAUGAAGCUUCAUCUUCUCGUCCAUUGUCAGCACCAGAUACAUUCAACAUUAACAGGGAAAAUGUGGAGAUGCGGAAGCUGAAGGGUAGCAUUAAUGGACUGGAGACGAGGUUGAGACAGUGCCUUUUGUGCCUUGCUGUCUUCCCAGAGGAUGCAGUCAUCAAGAAGAGGCUGCUAAUUCAUUGGUGGAUUGGAGAAGGCUUUGUGAGUUCAGUUUCAGAGGGGAAGAAUUUUUUUAAUGAGCUGCUUAUUACCAAGGGAUUCAUUAAGCCAGUUAAGAAAUACCACUGCGACAAAGUCCACGGGUGCAAGGUGCAACCGUUGAUCCGUGCGCUACUGAUUGAAGCUGCAAAGAGUGCAGCAUUUGUUGAGCUCAAUUCUGAUGGCAGCUCCAAGAAUGACUUCACCAGAACCCGGCGUGCAUGUUUGCAGGAUGGGAAGAUCCUUACCAGUUUCCAUCGCGAUGUGUUGACAGUUUACAAUAUUAAACAACAGUAUCUUGAGUUAGACAAGACAUGGUUUUCUGGAAAGACAUGUUUGAGCACUGUGCAGUUAGGACGAUGGCAGGAUACAAAUUAUGACCCUCGGGUGCAUCACGUAGAGUUGAACAAUGUUGAGUUCCUAAAGCAGGUCAAGUCGUGCAAGCAAUUGAAGUACCUGAGUUUCAGAGGGAUAUCGAGAAUCGAGGCCCUUCCUACCUCGAUUGGAAAGCUCACAAGACUUGUCAUCCUUGAUCUCAAAGCAUGCCAUAAUCUGGAGGAUCUACCAAAGGAGAUAGUGAAACUAGUGAAGCUGGAGUACUUGGACGUUUCUGAAUGCUACUUGCUGUCAGGUAUGCCCAAGGGGCUAAUCAAGCUUUCUCACCUUGAAGUUCUCAAGGGGUUUGUUCUGGCAAACACUAGGAGCAAAGACCCGUGCCAUCUCAAGGAACUUGUCAUGCUGAAAAAAUUACGGACGCUGAGCAUUAGAAUUGGAAAUAGUGUAGAUAGUGAUCAGUUUGAGAAAAUUAACGAGUUUUGUGCCCUCCGGUCGCUCACACUUACUUGGGGGGCUGGGUUAUCCUCGGUACCUGCUAUACACGGUGACAAUCGUCUUUCAAGAUCAAGCAGUGCUGCUACUCUUGCUGUUAAUCAUGCAAUGCCUUCUGUUCUCCCCUCGGGUCUUGAGAAGCUGGAGAUCUGUUGCUUCCCAGUAGCAGAAUUUCCUUGCUGGGUUAAUCCUGGAGAGCUGAAAAACUUGAAGAAACUCUAUAUCAGGGGAGGUAUCAUAAGUAGUGUAGGCGAGGACAAGUACUGGGAGGUGACCGUGCUUCGGUUAAGGUUCCUCAAGCAUCUCAACUAUUCAUGGACGGCACUGCAUGAUACUUUCAUGAAACUCCAUGUUUUGGAGGUGCAUGAAUGUGAAAAUCUUGAAACCUGGCCUGACUGUCAAAAGGACUUGUGGCUGAAAGAGACGAAUGGAAUUAUGGAAGGUUCGCACCUCGCUUAA
rnacentral:rRNA from 1 species